ensembl:lncRNA
AUAUGAAGUUACAUCAUAAUUUAAUAGAACUUGUUACUUGUAAGCUGUCCAUCACAGUGAAAGCAAGUGUGAUGUUUUAUAAGCCAGCGACAUGAGAUAACAUCAGCAUUCAUAUAAAUAUGUGCAGGUGAAGUAAUGGUAGAUAUUGUCCUGGUUAAAGGUGUGUGCAGACACAGCUUGAAUGCAAGUGUCUCUCUGCUUUUGUCCUCCUGAAACAGCCAACAACACUGACUGUUGCAGUGCUGUUUCACACAUGCUCUGUGACAUUUUUCUGCUGCUACAUUUUACGCUGUGACUGUGAACAGGUUUGUAGAAAAAGUAUUAUUAAGAGAAACCAUUCUCAUCAUAAAACAGUCAGGGGACACUCAUUAAUCAAUCCAAAGAGACUUUAUUUAUGAUAUUUUUGAAAAGUGCAAUGAUAAGAUCAGUGUUGAGAUUGUAGACAUCACAAUAUUGUUAAUAUUAGUCCCCUGAUCACACGCUUGGAUGAUACACAUACAAACAACAUCUCAGGGAGGAAAACAUCAAACAUGUCUGAUCUGAACCCCCCCCCCCCCCUAAAACUACAAUAAAUAAGAAUUCAAAUAUGCUUUACAACCUGGUUACUUAAUAAUUUCAAAACUUCACAUGUACUUUGGUUUAUUACUUCAUUUUCAGGAUGUGAACUUAAAAAUGUUACAAAUAUGAGCUGAGUACAUGUGACAUCAGAACCAGAACUAAUGUAAGGAAGCUGAUGUUGUUCACCAUGGCAGAGGAAGUGGUUCUUGCAGUAGUUCUGGUUGUUGUUGGGGUUGUUGUUGGGGUGGUUGCUGAGGUUGUUCUGGUGGUUGUACUUGUUGUUGGGGUAGUUGAAGUUGUUGUUGGGGUGGUUGCUGAGGUUGUUGUAGUGGUUGUACUUGUUGUUGGGGCAGUUGAGGUUGUUGUUGGGGUCGUUGCUGAUGUCGUUGUAGUGGUUGUAGUUGUUGGGGUAGUUGUGCUUGUUGUUGGGGUAGUUGCUGAGGUUUUUGUAGUGGUUGUACUUGUGGUUGGGAUACUUGAGGUUGUUGUAGGGGUAGUUGUUGAUGUUGUUGUAGUUGCUGUGGUUGUGGUUGUUGUUGGGGUAGUUGCUGAUGUCGUUGUAGUGGUUGUAGUUGUUGGGGUAGUUGUGCUUGUUCUUUGGGUAGUUGCUGAUGUUUUUGUAGUGGUUGUACUUGUUGUUGGGGUAGUUGAGGUUGUUGUAGUGGUUGUACUUGUUGUUGGGGCAGUUGAGGUUGUUGUUGGGGUCGUUGCUGAUGUCGUUGUAGUGGUUGUAGUUGUUGGGGUAGUUGUGCUUGUUGUUGGGGUAGUUGCUGAGGUUUUUGUAGUGGUUGUACUUGUGGUUGGGAUACUUGAGGUUGUUGUAGGGGUAGUUGUUGAUGUUGUUGUAGUUGCUGUGGUUGUGGUUGUUGUUGGGGUAGUUGCUGAUGUCGUUGUAGUGGUUGUAGUUGUUGUUGGGGUAGUUGUGCUUGUUCUUUGGGUAGUUGCUGAUGUUUUUGUAGUGGUUGUACUUGUUGUUGGGGUAGUUGAGGUUGUUGUUCGGGUCGUUGCUGAUGUCGUUGUAGUGGUUGUAGUUGUUGGGGUAGUUGUGCUUGUUGUUGGGGUAGUUGCUGAGGUUUUUGUAGUGGUUGUACUUGUUGUUGGGAUACUUGAGGUUGUUGUAGGGGUAGUUAUAGAUGUUGUUGUACUGGCUGUGGUUGUUGUUGGGGUAGUUGAGGUUGCUGUUGGAGCAGCUGUGGUUGUUGUUGGGGCAGCUGUUGUAGUUGUGGUUGAGGUUGUUGUCACCACAGCUGUAGUUGUUGUAGUUGGGGCUGCAAUUGUAGAUGUUGUUGGGGCAGCUGUUGUGGUCCUUGUAGGGGCAGCAGUCGUGGUUGUUGGGGCUGCUGUUGUGGUUGUUGUUGGGGCACCUGUUGUGGUUGUAGUUGGUGCGGCUGUUGUGCUUGUUAAAGCAGCUGUGCUCGUGGCUGCAGUUGUGGUUGUUAAUGGGGAUGCUGUAGUUGUCGUUGUUGGGGCAGUUGUUGUGGUUGUUGUUGGGGCUGCAGUUGUAGUUGUUGGCACAGCUGUUGUGGUUGUAGUUUGGAAAGUUGUCGUGGUUGUUGUUGGUGUAGCUGUAGUAGUUGUUUUUGGGACUGAAGUUGUUGUGGUUGUUGUUUGGGCACCUGUAGUUGUUGAUGUGGGGGUGGUUGUUGUGGUUGUUGUUGGUGCUGCAGAUAUGGUUGUUGUUGGAGCAGGUGUAGUUGUUGUUGUUGGGCUAGCUGUUGUGGUUGUGGUUGUUUGAGAAGCUGUGGUUGUCACUGUAGUUGUAAUUGUUGUUGGUGAAACAGUUGUGGUUGUUGUGGUUGUUGUUGGUGAAGCUGUACUAGUUGUUGUUGGUACAGCAGUUGUUGUGGUUGUUGUUGGGGCAGCAGUAGUUGUUGUUGUUGGGGCAUCUGUUGUGGUUGUUGUUGGGCCUGGUGUUGUAGUUGUUGGUGCAGCAGUUGUGGUUGUUGUUUGGGCAGCUGUAGUUGUUGGCGCAGCAGUUGUGGUUGUUGAGGUUGUUGUUGGUGCAGCUGUAGUAGUUGUUGUUGGGACUGCAGUUGUUGUGGUUGUUGAUGGGGCAGCUGUAGUUGUUGUUGUUGUGGUUGGUGGCGCAGCUGUAGUUGUUGUUGUUGGGGCAGCUGUAGUUGUUGUUGUUGGUGCACCUGUAGUAGUUGUUGUUGUGAAUGUAGUUGUUGUGCUUGUUGUUGGGGCAGCAGUUGUAGUUGUUGGCACAUCAGUUAUGGAUGUUGUUUGGGCUACUGUAGCAGCAGUUGUUGGGGCAGCUGUUGUGGUUGGGGCAGCUGUAGUUGUUUUUGGGGUGGCUGUUGUGGUUGUUGUUGGGCCUGGCGUUGUAGUUGUUGGCGCAGCAGUUGUGGUUGUUGUUGGGGCAGCUGUAGUUGUUGUUGUUGGAGCUGCAGUUGUUGUUGUUGGCGCUGCAGUUGUGGUUGUUGUCGGUGCAGCUGUAAUUGUUGUUGUUGUGACUGCAAUUGUUGUUGUUGGGGCAGCGGUUGUGGUUGUUGUUGGGGCAGCUGUAGUUGUUGUUGUGUGGGCGCUUGUUGUGGUUUUUGUUGGAGCUGCAGUUGUGGUUGUUGGGGCGGCUGUUGUGGUUGUUGUUGGGGCAGCUGUAGUUGUUGUUGUUGGGGCGGCUGUUGUGGUUGUUGUUGGGGCAGCUGUAGUUGUUGUUGUUGGGGCGGCAGUUGUGGUUGUUGUUGGGGCAGCUGUAGUUGUUGUUGUUGGGGCUGCAGUAGUUGUUGUUGGGGCAGCUGUAGUCGUUGUUGGGGCGGCUGUUGUUGUUGUAGGGGCAGUUGUAGCAGUUGUUGGGGCAGCUGUAGUUGUUGUUGUUGUUGGGGCUGUAGUUGUUGUUGUUGGGGCAGCUGUAGCAGUUGUGGUUGUUGUUGGGGCAGCUGUAGUUGUUGUUGUUGGGGCUGCAGUUGUGGUUGUUGGGGCAGCUGUAGUUGUUGUUGUUGGAGCUGCAGUUGUGGUUGUUGGAGCAGCAGUUGUGGUUGUUGUUGGGGCAGCUGUAGUUGUUGUUGUUGUUGGGGCGGCUGUUGUGGUUGUUGUUGGGGCAGCUGUAGUUGUUGUUGUCUGGGCUGUUGUUGUGGUUGUUGUUGUGGCGGCUGUAGUCGUUGUUGUUGGGGCGGCAGUUGUGGUUGUUGUUGGCGCAGCAGCUGUAGUCGUUGUUGGGGCAGCUGUAGUUGUUGUUGUUGGGGCAGCUGUAGUUGUUGUUGUUGGAGCAGCUGUAGUUGUUGUUGUUGGAACUGCAGUUGUGGUUGUUGGAGCAGCAGUUGUGGUUGUUGUUGGGGCAGAUGUAGUUGUUGUUGUUGGGGGAGCAGUUGUGGUUGUUGGGGCAGCUGUAGCAGUUGUUGUUGGGGCUGCAGUAGUUGUUGUUGUUAGGGCAGCAGUUGUGGUUGUUGUUGGGGCAGCUGCAGUUGUUGUUGUUGGGGCGGCUGUUGUGGUUGUUGUUGGGGCAGCUGUAGUUGUUGUUGUUGGGGCAGCAGUAGCUGUAGUUGUUGUUGUUGUUGUUGUUGGCGCAGCAGUUGUGGUUGUUGUUGGGGCAGCAGUUGUGGUUGUUGUUGGGGCAGCUGUUGUGGUUGUUGUUGGGGCAGCUGUAGUUGUUGUUGUUGUGGCGGCAGUUGUGGUUGUUGUUGGGGCGGCAGUUGUUGUUGUUGUUGGGGCAGCAGUAGCUGUUGUUGUUGGGGCGGCUGUUGUGGCUGUUGUUGGGGCAGCUGUAGUUGUUGUUG